AGUGAACGCUGGCGGCAGGCCUAAUACAUGCAAGUCGAACGGCAGCACAGCAGAGCUUGCUCUGUGGGUGGCGAGUGGCGGACGGGUGAGGAAUACAUGGGAAUCUGCCCAGUCGUGGGGGAUAACGUAUGGAAACGUACGCUAAUACCGCAUGCGCCCUAAGGGGGAAAGCCGGGGACCGCAAGGCCUGGCGCGAUUGGAUGAGCCCAUGUUCGAUUAGCUAGUUGGCGGGGUAAAGGCCCACCAAGGCGACGAUCGAUAGCUGGUCUGAGAGGAUGAUCAGCCACACUGGAACUGAGACACGGUCCAGACUCCUACGGGAGGCAGCAGUAGGGAAUAUUGGACAAUGGGGGCAACCCUGAUCCAGCCAUGCCGCGUGAGUGAAGAAGGCCUCGGGUUGUAAAGCUCUUUGUCCGGAAAGAAAGCAUUCGGUUAAUACCCGGGUGUUCUGACGGUACCGGAAGAAUAAGCACCGGCUAACUUCGUGCC
rnacentral:rRNA from 1 species